GAGUUUGAUCGUGGCUCAGAUUGAACGCUGGCGGCAUGCCUUACACAUGCAAGUCGAACGGCAGCAUGAUCUAGCUUGCUAGAUUGAUGGCGAGUGGCGAACGGGUGAGUAAUACAUCGGAACGUGCCCUGUAGUGGGGGAUAACUAGUCGAAAGGUUAGCUAAUACCGCAUACGACCUGAGGGUGAAAGUGGGGGACCGCAAGGCCCCAUGCUAUAGGAGCGGCCGAUGUCUGAUUAGCUAGUUGGUGGGGUAAAGGCCCACCAAGGCGACGAUCAGUAGCUGGUCUGAGAGGACGAUCAGCCACACUGGGACUGAGACACGGCCCAGACUCCUACGGGAGGCAGCAGUGGGGAAUUUUGGACAAUGGGCGAAAGCCUGAUCCAGCAAUGCCGCGUGUGUG
rnacentral:rRNA from 1 species